AGGGUUCAUACUAUCACACUGACUCUUGUUCCACAGGUGCUGUGUCUGGGAAUUGCACUGGUUCUGGUAGCUGUUGACUAUGACUGUCCGCAGAAGGACUCAGAAUUGGACCCAAAUGCUCAAUAAAUGGCAAGUGGGACUAUUACUUCCAAAGGUAAGGCUUAACUUGUAUUCGUGG
rnacentral:lncRNA from 1 species